GAUGAAGAACGUAGCGAAAUGCGAUAAGUAAUGCGAAUUGCAGAAUUCAGUGAGUCAUCGAAUCUUUGAACGCACAUUGCGCCCUGUGGUAUUCCGCAGGGCAUGCCUGUUCGAGCGUCAUUUCAACCCUCAAGCUCUGCUUGGAGUUGGGCCCUGCCCGCUGCGGCCGGCCCUAAAGACAGUGGCGGUGCCGCCUGGCCCUGAGCGUAGUACAUCUCUCGCUCCAGUGCCCGGUGGUAGCCUGCCAGAACCCCAACUCUCGUGGUUGACCUCGGAUCAGGUAGGGAUACCCGCUGAACUUAAGCAUAUCAAUAAGCGGAGGA
rnacentral:misc_RNA from 1 species